rnacentral:tRNA from 1 species
ACUAUUUUGGCAGAUUAGUGUAAUAGAUUUAGAAUCUUUAAAUGUAAAAUUAGAUUUACAAAUAGUA